rnacentral:rRNA from 1 species
UGAACGCUGGCGGCGUGCUUAACACAUGCAAGUCGAACGGAGUUUAACGGAAGUUUCGGAUGGAAGUUUAGAACUAGUGGCGGACGGGUGAGUAACGCGUGGGUAACCUGCCUCAGUACAGGGGGAUAACAGUUAGAAAUGACUGCUAACACCGCAUAAUAUAGCGAAACCGCAUGGAUUUUGCUAUCAAAAUAUUUAUACGGGUAUGAGAUGGGCCCGCGUCUGAUUAGCUAGUUGGUGGGGUAAAAGCCUACCAAGGCGACGAUCAGUAGCCGGCUUGAGAGAGUGACCGGCCACAUUGGGACUGAGACACGGCCCAAACUCCUACGGGAGGCAGCAGUGGGGAAUAUUGGACAAUGGGGGAAACCCUGAUCCAGCCGACGCCGCGUGAGUGAAGAAGUAUUUCGGUAUGUAAAGCUCUAUCAGCAGGGAAGAUAAUGACAGUACCUGACUAAGAAGCCCCGGCUAACUACGUGCCAGCCGCCGC